UGACCCCACCAGUACUGAAUUCAAAACUCUUGAACAAUCAGUCAUAAAGACUUGUACUGAGAUAUACCAAAAACAAUUUGGAAGAAAAUUUAAACGAUGCAAAGUCAAAAAGUUCAGGGCCAUACCUUCACGAGCAACUGGAACUGAAGCAACAAUUGAGGUUGUGUUUGAUAGUACUACUCCUAUUGCAGAUCUCCCAGAGAAUAACGUUGUUGCUGAAGUCUUAGUAACAGCUGUGAGUAAUCCCAACGAUACCUUCGAUGUGAGAAUAGAUCCGGGAUCAAUAAAAGUAAUAGAAGGUCCAGUUCCAACUACAGCACCUACAA